AAGCAUGUGACGAAUUACUCAGAUUCCCCUUCAAGACAUUAUGGGUGAUGCAAUCUGAGUAUCUGAUGCA
rfam:Punica granatum cultivar Dabenzi scaffold532, whole genome shotgun sequence.